AAGUCGUAACAAGGUCUCCGUUGGUGAACCAGCGGAGGGAUCAUUACUGAGUUUACGCUCUAUAACCCUUUGUGAACAUACCUAUAACUGUUGCUUCGGCGGGUAGGGUCUCCGUGACCCUCCCGGCCUCCCGCCCCCGGGCGGGUCGGCGCCCGCCGGAGGAUAACCAAACUCUGAUUUAACGACGUUUCUUCUGAGUGGUACAAGCAAAUAAUCAAAACUUUUAACAACGGAUCUCUUGGUUCUGGCAUCGAUGAAGAACGCAGCGAAAUGCGAUAAGUAAUGUGAAUUGCAGAAUUCAGUGAAUCAUCGAAUCUUUGAACGCACAUUGCGCCCGCCAGCAUUCUGGCGGGCAUGCCUGUUCGAGCGUCAUUUCAACCCUCAAGCUCUGCUUGGUGUUGGGGCCCUACAGCUGAUGUAGGCCCUCAAAGGUAGUGGCGGACCCUCCCGGAGCCUCCUUUGCGUAGUAACUUUACGUCUCGCACUGGGAUCCGGAGGGACUCUUGCCGUAAAACCCCCAAUUUUCCAAAGGUUGACCUCGGAUCAGGUAGGAAUACCCGCUGAACUUAA
rnacentral:rRNA from 1 species